rnacentral:rRNA from 1 species
UACGUAGGGUGCGAGCGUUAAUCGGAAUUACUGGGCGUAAAGCGUGCGCAGGCGGUUUGGUAAGACAGAUGUGAAAUCCCCGGGCUUAACCUGGGAACUGCAUUUGUGACUGCCAGACUAGAGUGUAGCAGAGGGGGGUAGAAUUCCACGUGUAGCAGUGAAAUGCGUAGAGAUGUGGAGGAAUACCGAUGGCGAAGGCAGCCCCCUGGGCUAACACUGACGCUCAUGCACGAAAGCGUGGGGAGCAAACAGGAUUAGAUACCCUGGUAGUCCACGCCCUAAACGAUGUCAACUAGGUGUUGGGGAAGGAGACUUCUUUAGUACCGCAGCUAACGCGUGAAGUUGACCGCCUGGGGAGUACGGUCGCAGGAUUAAAACUCAAAGGAAUUGACGGGGACCCGCACAAGCGGUGGAUUAUGUGGAUUAAUUCGAUGCAACGCGAAAAACCUUACCUACCCUUGACAUGUCAGGAAGAUUCCAGAGAUGGGAUUGUGCCCGAAAGGGAACCUGAACACAGGUGCUGCAUGGCUGUCGUCAGCCCGUGUCGUGAGAUGUUGGGUUAAGUCCCGCAACGAGCGCAACCCUUGUCAUUAAUUGCCAUCAUUUAGUUGGGCACUUUAAUGAGACUGCCGGUGAUAAACCGGAGGAAGGUGGGGAUGACGUCAAGUCCUCAUGGCCCUUAUGGGUAGGGCUUCACACGUAAUACAAUGGUCGGUACAGAGGGUUGCCAACCCGCGAGGGGGAGCUAAUCUCAGAAAGCCGAUCGUAGUCCGGAUCGGAGUCUGCAACUCGACUCCGUGAAGUCGGAAUCGCUAGUAAUCGCGGAUCAGCAUGUCGCGGUGAAUACGUUCCCGGGUCU